CAAGCUGGUACUUUCAAACAAUAGAAAUUGAUUGUCUCAAAGUUCUAGAAGCUGGAAGUCCAAGGUCAAGGAGCCAGCAGAGCUGUGCUCGUGCUGGAGGCACUGGGAGCAUCUGUUGCAGGCCUUUCUCUGGGUGCCUGGUGUCACUGGUCAUCCUUGGCACUUCUUUGCUGGCCAAGGAUGCAUCACUGUGACCCUCGUCUUUACAGGGCUUCACGCUGUGUCUGUCCACGCGCGGAUGUCGUCUUGUAAGGACACCAGCCACACCGAUGAGAGGCCAUCUUCCUCCACUUUGACCUCAUCUUAACUAAUUACAUCUGCAACUGUCCUAUUUCCAAAUAAGGUCACGUUCUAGGGUAGCGGAGAGUAGGACUUCAACACAGCUUUUUUUGAGGGAAGACGCAAUUCAACCCACAGCUCCCCCAAAUGCGUUAUUCACUCUGUUCUGUGCCCUGUGGCAUGACCCUGUGGCCUGCCCUCUUUGCUGUGCUCUGGUGCUUUAGCCUCGGUUAGAAUUCCUGCAGGAGUUUCCCAGGAGACCAGAAGGUUUAACCAGUGUCUGAUGUAGUCGGUUCUCAGGAGAAGUUUGAUAAAUGCAUGAACCUGCUUUGCCCUGACAAGUAGGACCUUCCAGCCUCACCCCAGAUCCACUGGUCCUCAGCCUGAUCAUGGACAUUGGAUGGCGUCCCCAUCUGCCUCCUGCCAGUGGAGCGGAGACACUCCUCUUGGACCCUGCUUCCUGCGCUGGCUGGAGAAGGAGGACCAACAGCCCUGGCACCAAGGGCACCUUUUCUGAGACUGGCUUUCCUGACACAAGGGGCACCGCUCUGCUUUUGUGUCUGCACCCUUCGGAGAUGGCCUCUGACCAUCCCUGGGCUUCUGGGGUGGUGCCUGGCCAGGCUUAGCACAGUGUCCCGUGUAAAGCCCAGACCCGCAGCAGUCCCCUUCCUGGCAAGAGUGAGGUCUGCUCUUUUGACCUUGACUGCACCUCCCUAAACAUAUCCUAGAGUCCCUCUCAGGGAGCACUUGGGGCUCCGUCUUCACUUAUUCAUGUCUUUUUAGGCGCCGCAGCACGCACCCCACAACACGGUCAGCACAACCUUGUCCCUUGGCCCUGUGGGACUCGUGGCCUGGACCCAUUGUCUGCUCACUUUCUUGGAAUGUGGCCUCAGGCCCUGGCUUCCUGGGCCCUUUUCUAAAGAGGACCCUUCCUUCGUCCCUCUAAGAUCCUCCCCUCACACUCCAUGGCUUUGGGCUGUCUUAUCAGCUGGGGCUGCCAUAACAAAGAACCACAGACCAAGGGUUAAACAACAGGCAUUCAUUUUCUCACGGUUCUGGAGGCUGGAAGUGCAUGACCAAGGUGCUAGCAAAUGUGGUUUCUGACGCAGACAAAAGUUGAAGAACCCUGAGGCACUGCUCUAGCCACGGUGUAAAAGCAUUGAGCCAGCUCAUAUGGAAGACCCAGUCAAGUCACCAGUAUCUGCAUUUGUGCUUGUUAACGUUCGUGGCUCAGGAGGCCUACCUUCUGAUUAAGUGUUCUCAUGUAAAAUCAUCCAAAUACUCCCUAUUAAUUUUAUUUUGAUAUAUG
rnacentral:lncRNA from 1 species